rnacentral:rRNA from 1 species
AUUGAACGCUGGCGGAAUGCUUUACACAUGCAAGUCGAACGGCAGCACGGACUUCGGUCUGGUGGCGAGUGGCGAACGGGUGGGUAAUACAUCGGAACGUGCCCAGUCGUGGGGGAUAACGUAGCGAAAGCUACGCUAAUACCGCAUACGAUCUAAGGAUGAAAGCGGGGGAUCGCAAGACCUCGCGCGAUUGGAGCGGCCGAUGGCAGAUUAGGUAGUUGGUGGGAUAAAGGCUCACCAAGCCGACGAUCUGUAGCUGGUCUGAGAGGACGACCAGCCACACUGCGACUGAGAAACGGCCCAGACUCCUACGGGAGUCAGCAGUGGGGAAUUUUGGACAAUGGGCGCAAGCCUGAUCCAGCCAUUCCGCGUGCAGGAUGAAGGCCCUCGGGUUGUAAACUGCUUUUGUACGGAACGAAAAGGCUCUGGUUAAUACCUGGGGCCCAUGACGGUACCGUAAGAAUAAGCACCGGCUAACUACGUGCCAGCCGCCGCGGUAA